rnacentral:rRNA from 1 species
GAUGAACGCUGGCGGCGUGCCUAAUACAUGCAAGUCGAGCGAACAGAUAAGGAGCUUGCUCCUUUGACGUUAGCGGCGGACGGGUGAGUAACACGUGGGUAACCUACCUAUAAGACUGGAAUAACUCCGGGAAACCGGGGCUAAUGCCGGAUAACAUUUAGAACCGCAUGGUUCUAAAGUGAAAGAUGGUUUUGCUAUCACUUAUAGAUGGACCCGCGCCGUAUUAGCUAGUUGGUAAGGUAACGGCUUACCAAGGCAACGAUACGUAGCCGACCUGAGAGGGUGAUCGGCCACACUGGAACUGAGACACGGUCCAGACUCCUACGGGAGGCAGCAGUAGGGAAUCUUCCGCAAUGGGCGAAAGCCUGACGGAGCAACGCCGCGUGAGUGAUGAAGGUCUUCGGAUCGUAAAACUCUGUUGUUAGGGAAGAACAAAUGUGUAAGUAACUGUGCACGUCUUGACGGUACCUAAUCAGAAAGCCACGGCUAACUACGUG